rnacentral:rRNA from 1 species
GGGUGCAAUCAUACUAGCACUAAUGCACCGGAUCCCAUCAGAACUCCGAAGUUAAGCGUGCUUCGGCGAGAGUAGCACUAGGAUGGGUGACCUCCUGGGAAGUCCUUGUGUUGCACGCC